rnacentral:sRNA from 1 species
CGUUAAACCCUGCCCGUUCUCAACCACUGAUGAUGGAUGGUUGAUUUUGCAUGGCUCUCUGGCCGGUCUGAUGCAGGCUGUGGCCAGCGGCAGAGCCCCUCCCGAGUGCCCUGAGCUCACGUGGGCCCGGCCCUCUGUGCUCAGUCCUACCAGGACCUGGUCCAGCGCCUGGAGCCGGUGAUCAUGGAGCUGGAGCGGCAGGAGAAUGUGCUGGUCAUCUGCCACCAGGCUGUCCUGCGCUGCCUGCUGGCCUACUUCCUGGAUAAGAGCGCAGAGGAGAUGCCCUACCUGAAAUGCCCUCUUCACACUGUCCUGAAACUGACGCCUGUUGCUUAUGGCUGCCGUGUGGAAUCCAUCUACCUGAAUGUGGAGUCCGUCUGCACGCACCGGGAGAGGUCAGAGGAUGCAAAGAAGGGACCUAACCCGCUCAUGAGACGCAAUAGUGUCACCCCGCUAGCCAGCCCCGAGCCCACCAAAAAGCCUCGCAUCAACAGCUUUGAGGAGCAUGUGGCCUCCACCUCGGCCGCCCUGCCCAGCUGCCUGCCCCCGGAGGUGCCCACGCAGCUGCCUGGACAAGUCAGUGCACUCCCCUUCCCUUCCUGCCUGGGGGAUGCAUGCCGGGCGUGAUGCCGCAGAUCUGGGAUUGCGUGCGUGUGUG